UUUCCUUAUACACUGUCCAAGCUCCAACAAGGAUAGAACACACUGAAGAGAGAAAAGGAUUUCAAAACCAAGAAGUGAGCCUGCAUUCUGUUCAUCAUGGGAAAAGGAGCCAGUGACUUUGAUUGGCAAGAGAAGCACCCAGACACCACACAGUCCCAACCAGAGAAGCGAAAACCCAACACAGACUCAGACAAACACCGCUCAGGCUCUGACUCAGGAGAGAACGGCUGUAAGAAGUGCUGCAUCAGGACCAAGAACUGUAUCAUGAGUCCUGAGUGUGGCCGUGCACUACACAUCUCCCAGGUCAUCGCAAUGUGCGGCAUGUGCAUUGGCAUGUGGACAUAGUCCAACCAUCUUUUCUCAAAGGACAACUAUUUGAUAUAUUCUCCUAGACCACAGAGAGAGAAACACAUCAAUGCUUUGACAUACAUUAAAGAAGAGUAUGUAAGCAAAGGAAUACAUUUCUCCUCUCAUGUUUUCCUUGGAAUCUCAACCACCACCAACACAAACAAUAUGGAAGUGAAACAAAAUGAACCUUUCAUACUCUUUAUUGUCCUUGGAUAUAAUUGUGCAAAGUAUUGUAAGCUACUGUACAUUCUCCACUGUGCAGUGUUCUGUAAACUAUAUAUUUUCUAUUUUCUCUAAAUGUUUCUUAGUAUUUGUCAUACAGUAGUUUGGAUACUAUUUGGCUGUUCCA